rnacentral:rRNA from 1 species
GAUCAUGGCUCAGGACGAACGCUGGCGGCGCGCCUAACACAUGCAAGUCGAACGAGAGAGAGGAAGCUUGCUUCCUCAAUCGAGUGGCGAACGGGUGAGUAACGCGUGAGGAACCUGCCUCAAAGAGGGGGACAGCAGUUGGAAACGACUGCUAAUACCGCAUAAGCCCACAGGUCGGCAUCGACCAGAGGGAAAAGGAGCAAUCCGCUUUGAGAUGGCCUCGCGUCCGAUUAG